rnacentral:rRNA from 1 species
AUUCCAGCUCCAAUAGCGUAUAUUAAAGUUGUUGCGGUUAAAAAGCUCGUAGUUGGAUUUCUGCCGAGGAUGACCGGUCCGCCCUGUGGGUGUGCAUCUGGCUCAGCCUUGGCAUCUUCCUGAAGAACGUAGCUGCACUUGACUGUGUGGUGCGGUAUUUAGGACAUUUACUUUGAGGAAAUUAGAGUGUUUCAAGCAAGCGCACGCUUUGAAUACAUUAGCAUGGAAUAAUAAGAUAGGACCUCGGUUCUAUUUUGUUGGUUUCUAGAGCUGAGGUAAUGAUUAAUAGGGACAGUCGGGGGCAUUUGUAUUCAAACGACAGAGGUGAAAUUCUUGGACCGUUUGAAGACAAACUACUGCGAGAGCAUUUGCCAAGAAUGUUUUCAUCG